UACGAAGGGGGCUAGCGUUGCUCGGAAUCACUGGGCGUAAAGGGUGCGUAGGCGGGUCUUUAAGUCAGGGGUGAAAUCCUGGAGCUCAACUCCAGAACUGCCUUUGAUACUGAGGAUCUUGAGUUCGGGAAAGGUGAGUGGAACUGCGAGUGUAGAGGUGAAAUUCGUAGAUAUUCGCAAGAACACCAGUGGCGAAGGCGGGUCUCUGGGCCGAUACUGACGCUGAGGAGCGAAAGCGUGGGGAGCGAACAGG
rnacentral:rRNA from 1 species